UUUAUUGAGAGUUUGAUCCUGGCUCAGGAUGAACGCUGGCGGCGUGUUUAAGGCAUGCAAGUCGAGCGAAGUGCCUGUUACACCCGUAUCCUAAUAUGUCAUGCUAAACUUUUCAGUAUUUUCCUUUUAACAAGGGAUCCUGAAACAAGUUCAGGAUGACAGUGGGGUCCGAGUGUAACAGGAUUACUAGCGGCAAACGGGUGAGUAACACAUUGGUAACCUACCUUGAAGACAGGCAUAGCUCGCCGAAAGGCGAAUUAAUACCUGAUAGUAAUGCGGGGACGAAAGUCAUUCGCAUUUAAAGUCGCAAGACGCUUCAAGAGGGGCCUAUGGCCUAUCAGCUAGUUGGCGGGGUAAAAGCCCACCAAGGCUCCGACGGGUAGCAGGCGUGAGAGCGCGGUCUGCCUCACUGGGACUGAGAAACUGCCCAGACACCUACGGGUGGCUGCAGUCAAGAAUCUUCCACAAUGGACGAAAGUCUGAUGGAGCGACGCCGCGUGCAGGAUGAAGGCCUUCGGGUCGUAAACUGCUUUUGUAGGGGACGAAUUAGUGACGGUACCCUAAGAAUAAGAGGUUGCUAACUCUGUGCCAGCAGCAGCGGUAAUACAGAGACCUCAAGCGUUAUCCGGAUUUAUUGGGCGUAAAGCGUCUGUAGGUUGUACAGUAAGUUGGGGGUUAAAUCCCGAUGCUUAACAUCGGGCCUGCUUCCAAAACUACUGUGCUAGAGAAUGGGAGAGGUAAGCAGAAUUGCUGGUGUAGUCGUAAUAAGCGUUGAGAUCAGCAAGAAUACCAAAUGCGAAGGCAGCUUACUAUAACAUUUCUGACACUGAGAGACGAAAGCGUGGGGAGCAAACAGGAUUAGAUACCCUGGUAGUCCACGCCCUAAACGAUGCGAACUAGGUAUUGGCAGUAUCGACCCUGUCAGUGCCGUUUAAAAAAGCUAACGCGUUAAGUUCGCCGCCUGGGAAGUACGGUCGCAAGACUAAAACUCAAAGGAAUAGACGGGGACCCGCACAAGCGGUGGAGCAUGUGGUUUAAUUCGACGGUAAACGGGGAACCUUACCUGGGCUCAACUACUAACUGCAAGGUUGAUGAAAGUCGACCCGCCUUCGAGGGUGUUAGAUAGGUGCUGCAUGGUUGCCGUCAGCUCGUGCCGUGAGGUGUACCGUUAAGUCGGGAAACGAGCGCAACCCACGUCGUGUGUUAAAUUUACACGCGAGACUGCCUGCGCAAGCAGGAGGAAGGAGUGGACGACGUCAAAUCAGCAUGGCUCUUACGUCCAGGGCUACACACAUGCUACAAUGGCCGGUACAACGGGUUGCUAAGCCGUAAGGCGGAGCUAAUCUCUUAAAACCGGCCCCAGUUCAGAUUGAGGGCUGCAACUCGCCCUCAUGAAGUAGGAAUCGCUAGUAAACGCGCAUCAGCCACGGCGCGUUGAAUACGUUCUCGGGUCUUGUACUCACCGCCCGUCACACCAUGGAAGUUGGCAACGCCCAAAGGCUCGCAAGGGACUAAGGCGGGGUCAAUGACUGGGGUGAAGUCGUAACAAGGCAUCCCUAGCGGAAGCUGGGGAUGGAUCACCUCCUUU
rnacentral:rRNA from 1 species